UACGUAGGGUGCAAGCGUUGUCCGGAAUUAUUGGGCGUAAAGAGCUCGUAGGCGGUUUGUCACGUCUGCUGUGAAAACUGGAGGCUCAACCUCCAGCUUGCAGUGGGUACGGGCAGACUAGAGUGCGGUAGGGGAGAUUGGAAUUCCUGGUGUAGCGGUGAAAUGCGCAGAUAUCAGGAGGAACACCGGUGGCGAAGGCGGGUCUCUGGGCAACAACUGACGCUGAGGAGCGAAAGCGUGGGGAGCGAACAGG
rnacentral:rRNA from 1 species